UCACUCACUCUGAACCCACUGCCGCCGAGCCGACUCCAGCGCAGCCUGUCUCGUUGAUGAUCAAGGGGAAAGAGAAGAUAGUAAACUGGCUUGGCCAUGGGCUACGUCUUUCUGCUAGCCAUAGGCCGAAGGAGGAAGCAAGAUGACACGUCCACUAACUUCAUUCCACUCUUGGAAACAUCUUUGACGGAAACUUCGGAACCAGAAUCAGAACCAGACCCGGGAUUUAUGAUCAAAAGGGCAACAACAGCCACCAGCAUGCCAAUCAAGAACAGCCCGGCGCUCACACCUUCAAUGACGCCAAACAAGGGCUCUGCAGCAAUGGGGGAAACAACAAAAUCCAGGUGGGAAAACAAAAGAACCGAAACCCUCUCUUCCAAGGAGCACGCUGGCAGGCACAGACAGCCUCUAAGUCAGGCCACAGAGAAGGAAGCAAUGGCCAUCCAACAGCUCAGCCAGGCAACUGAUAACGAUGGAACCUGGGCUACUGCCCAUCAUACUCUACACUUCUGUCCUUAUACUCUAAGUUAAUGGGGUCUCACUGACACAGGGCUGUUGGACUUCUUCGGUGCUUGUUUAUAAAGCUUGGGGCAUCUGAGAGAAAGGCCAGUAUUUAGGAUGGAGCACAUGUUGUUUGCCAUCAAAAUAAAAAUGCUAUGUCAUUUUUAUAA